GCUGGCUUCAGCACAACAUAUCCUUCAAUUGCUAUGACAUACAGAAGGUUAGCAUGGCCCCUGCACAAGGAUAACACACGCACUUGUGAAAUGUCCUGUAUUUUA